CUUCUUUAUCACCGAGUGCUUGCACUCACCGAUAAAGAGUUUAGUGGCGAACGGGUGAGUAACACGUGGGCAACCUGCCCAAAAGAGGGGGAUAACACUUGGAAACAGGUGCUAAUACCGCAUAACCAUAGUUACCGCAUGGUAACUAUGUAAAAGGUGGCUAUGCUACCGCUUUUGGAUGGGCCCGCGGCGCAUUAGCUAGUUGGUGGGGUAAAGGCUUACCAAGGCAAUGAUGCGUAGCCGAACUGAGAGGUUGAUCGGCCACAUUGGGACUGAGACACGGCCCAAACUCCUACGGGAGGCAGCAGUAGGGAAUCUUCCACAACGGGCGAAAGCCUGAUGGAGCAACGCCGCGUGGGUGAAGAAGGUCUUCGGAUCGUAAAACCCUGUUGUUAGAGAAGAAAGUGCGUGAGAGUAACUGUUCACGUUUCGACGGUAUCUAACCAGAAAGCCACGGCUAACUACGUGCCAGCAGCCGCGGUAAUACGUAGGUGGCAAGCGUUAUCCGGAUUUAUUGGGCGUAAAGGGAACGCAGGCGGUCUUUUAAGUCUGAUGUGAAAGCCUUCGGCUUAACCGGAGUAGUGCAUUGGAAACUGGGAGACUUGAGUGCAGAAGAGGAGAGUGGAACUCCAUGUGUAGCGGUGAAAUGCGUAGAUAUAUGGAAGAACACCAGUGGCGAUAGCGGCUCUCUGGUCUGUAACUGACGCUGAGGCUCGAAAGCGUGGGUAGCAAACAGGAUUAGAUACCCUGGUAGUCCACGC
rnacentral:rRNA from 1 species